rnacentral:rRNA from 1 species
ACGGCUCAGUAACACGUGGCUAACCUGCCCUUAGGACGAGAAUAACCCCGGGAAACUGGGGCUAAUGCUCGAUAGGUGAAGAACUCUGGAAUGAGUCUUCACUUAAAAGAGUCUGCGUUAUGCUCGUAGAUUUCGCUUAAGGAUGGGGCCGCGACCGAUCAGGUUGUUGGUGAGGUAAUGGCUCACCAAGCCUUUUACCGGUGCGGGCCGUGAGAGCGGGAGCCCGGAGAUGGGCACUGAGACAAGGGCCCAGGCCCUACGGGGCGCAGCAGUCGCGAAAACUUUGCAAUACACGAAAGUGUGACAGGGCUAUCCCGAGUGCCAUCCGCUGAGGAAGGCUUUUACCCAGUCUAGAACGCUGGGGGAAUAAGGAGAGGGCAAGUCUGGUGUCAGCCGCCGCGGUAAUACCAGCUCUCCGAGUGGUGUGGAUGUUUAUUGGGCCUAAAGCAUCCGUAGCUGGCUAAGUUAGUCCCCUGUUAAAUCCAACGAAUUAAUCGUUGGAUCGCGGGGGAUACUGCUUGGCUAGGGGACGAGAGAGGCAGACGGUAUUUCCGGGGUAGGGGUGAAAUCCUAUAAUCCCGGGAAGACCACCAGUGGCGAAGGCUGUCUGCUAGAACGCGCCCGACGGUGAGGGAUGAAAGCUGGGGGAGCGAACCGGAUUAGAUACCCGGGUAGUCCCAGCUGUAAACGAUGCAGGCUAGGUGUUUGGACGGCCACGUGCCGUUCUAGUGCCGCAGGGAAGCUGUUAAGCCUGCCGCCUGGGGAGUACGAUCGCAAGAUUGAAACUUAAAGGAAUUGGCGGGGGAG